GCCCAAAUAGUAUAGUGGCUAGUACAUCACGUUGUGGCCGUGAGGACCCAUGUUCGAUUCAUGGUUUGGGCA
rnacentral:tRNA from 1 species